rnacentral:rRNA from 1 species
AUACGUAGGGGGCAAGCGUUGUCCGGAAUGAUUGGGCGUAAAGGGCGCGUAGGCGGCCCGGUAAGUCUGAAGUGAAAGUCCUGGUUUUAAGUUGGGAAUUGCUUUGGAUACUGUCGGGCUUGAGUGCUGGAGAGGUAAGUGGAAUUCCCAGUGUAGCGGUGAAAUGCGUAGAGAUUGGGAGGAACACCAGUGGCGAAGGCGACUUACUGGACUGUAACUGACGCUGAGGCGCGAAAGUGUGGGGAGCAAACAGGAUUAGAUACCCUGGUAGUCCACACUGUAAACGAUGAAUGCUAGGUGUAGGGGGUAUCGACCCCUUCUGUGCCGCAGUCAACACAAUAAGCAUUCCGCCUGGGGAGUACGGCCGCAAGGUUGAAACUCAAAUGAAUUGACGGGG